UGCGUAGGUGGUCAGGUAAGUCGGAUGUGAAAUCUCGGAGCUCAACUCCGAAACUGCAUUGGAAACUACCUGGCUCGAGGAAUGGAGGGGGGGACUGGAAUUCUCGGUGUAGCAGUGAAAUGCGUAGAUAUCGAGAGGAACACCAGUGGCGAAGGCGAGUCCCUGGACAUCUCCUGACACUGAGGCACGAAAGCUAGGGGGAGCAAACA
rnacentral:rRNA from 1 species